rnacentral:rRNA from 1 species
CCCUUAGAUGUCCUGGGCCGCACGCGCGCUACAAUGAUGCAACCAACGAGUGCUGCUCCUUGGCCGAGAGGCCCGGGGAACCUUGCAAACUGCAUCGUGCUGGGGAUAGAUGAUUGCAAUUCUUCAUCUUGAACGAGGAAUGCCUUGUAAGCGUGAGUCAUCAACUCGCGCUGAAUACGUCCCUGCCCUUUGUACACACCGCCCGUCGCUCCUACCGAUUGAAUGGUCCGGUGAAAUCUUCGGAUUGCUGAUCAAAUUCCAGCAAUGGAGCUUGAUUGCGAGAAGUUGAUUAAACCUUAUUAUUUAGAGGAAGGAGAAGUCGUAACA